rnacentral:rRNA from 1 species
UACAGGCAGCGGCGUCGGCUGACCGAGGGCAGGCGCUGGCAGUGCCGCAGGCCGGCCGGCCACGACAGGCGGCCGCUCUAGCUCGCCGUGGACGAAGGCGAGCAGCUGGAGCUCGGGCUCCUCUUGGGGGCGGAGCGCGGGGAGGCGCCGACGGAGGAGCGCGAGUGGAGGGUGGCCGAGUAGAAGGAGGUGCUCCGGAGGGAGAGGCGCGCGCGGGAGGGCGAGCGCAGGUAGCAGGUGGGCAUGGGAGGGGUGGCGUCCGUGUUGGUAUUGGGUGAGGCGAGGGAGAAGAGGAGCAGCAGGAGGAGGAGCAGCGUAGUGGGCGCGUAGGCGUAGGUCUAGAGGGACGGGGGCAGCGCCAGCCUCCAGCAGCGGCAGCAGCAGUGGACGUUCCGCCUGCACCUACACAAGAUGCCCGCCGACGAGCUCCGGUAGGCGCGCUCCCGGACCCUCCGCUGGCGGCGCCGACGAGGCCGGUCACCGCGGGGCCACCGACUCCCUCGGCGGGGUCGGCUCCUCCUAGACCGCUAGUCCUACGGGCACCAACCUCACCGCCCCUAUGACGCCUUCCUCGUCCUCUGCACCCUCUCACGCCCCGUCUUGAACGUCCUACGGAAGGUCCUAGAGUUGCGUGAGUACUCGUUUCGGUUCCUUUACUACCUUAACCGUCUCUUCUACUCCGUUUUCGAUAACUGCUUGAGUAGACGAGUUAGCUUAAGGUUACUGCUUCUCUACCCAAGAUUCGUUCUGUACGUCCUAAACGAUAACUCGCAUCCGUAGCACAGAGGACACUGUUUCCUUUGACGACCACGAAACAUGGUAGUCGUCGAAAGUGCUGUCGACCGACUGAAACAUUCUCAUGGUCAACUCUCUCGUCCACCAUACUACCGUGAUCAGCUACAGAUGACAGAGAAGUUGGCACGAUCCCCUUGUCUCAACUAGAGUGGUCUCCUAGAAAACGUUCGAACGAGGGAAACCCUCUUUAAACUACAGGGUCACUACGAGGCCUUUAAACUGUCACCUCACUUCCACUAGGUCUGGUUCUGCGUAUCACUACUACUCCAUAAACGUUCUUAGAGUAGUGAGCGUGUUUUCGGCCUACGAGAAGAGUUUCCUUAUUCGGGGUCGCUGCGACGUAAGUGCGACCCCUAACGUGGUCGAAAUCGUUUCCUCGUAGAAGAUUUACGUCUUUUGUUUCCAGAUGAGACGUCCCUACAGUCAGGUCUACCCAAGGCAAAGAUGUAGUUAAACAAAUUGCUCUAACUAGAGGUCUUAUAAGUAAACGGUUUUUGAGUACCUGAUAUGGUGUGAACCUAUAGACACCGUUGCCGUCGUGUAACUGUGUCAAAACCAUCUCCACCUAAGUCCACUAACUUGAAACUACACUGAUAAAACGGAAUUAUGAGGGGACACAACAUAGAGUAAAUGAAGGAGACAUUUCAUUGUAUUCUCGCAAAUUUAGUGAUGAAUUUAGUGAUGAAAUCACUAGAUUUGCGAGAAUAUAAUGAAAUGCCUCUCUCACGUUUAAUGUUCUGUAUUGCAAAAGUAGUAAACCAACUGUUUACUGAAAACCACACGACAUAUACAUUCAACUCGACUCCUAAAACCUACCAAAAAUGGUUCGGUGUUUCUCAAAGUUGUUUCCGUACAUUACCCCAUGACGUUUCAACCCUCAAUUAUAUAGGACUAUGUUCGAUGACGUCUUUGGCCGAGAGACAAAACCGUAGCAUAGUUUACAUAGUAACAUAGGACAAGUCUGGCUCAUAUACUUGUCGUAGUUUU